AAUUGGUUGGUCAUCAGUACAGUGAUGUGUGUGGCUUUCCAUUCAUGUGUAAAUUUCAGUUAGUCCUGAGAAUUCUACGGAAGUCACCUCAGCAACAUGUGAUAAAUUUCUCAUCAAAGAUCACACAUUCCCAUACUGCAUCAGAUGGCAACUGCUCCCAGUUAAGAUGAGAUACACAAAUGCAUCAUCUGUAAGGUAAUCAGAAAAAAAAAAUGCUUACACAGAAUGAAAUACUUCUACUGGCCAAUUCAGUUCUGUGUGUGUUGGUCUGUAUUUGUAAUCAUUAUUUGCAAUACUGUGCAAGUAGGUAGUGUGUGGGAGUGAAAAUUUGAAUAUGUUGUAAGGUAGAUGUUUGAAAGAUUUAUUGCAUUUUGGCUCUCAUUACAUAGUUUGUGACUCAGUUGAUACAAAACACAAUGUUUUGCUGAGGUUGUGUGUUAACUUCAGUUGGUAAUGUGUACCUUAUUGUGAGAAUUUAUGCGUCCAUUCUGUAAAAAUGAGUUUCCAAUAACAUGUGCAUUGUGUGAUUCUGCAGAUUGAUUUUUAUCAAGCAGAGAAAGGGUUUUGUUUGCAUACAGUUUUAAUGCAGUGUCUGUACUAAAUUCCAGUUUGGAUAACAGCACUGAACACAACAUUACUCACUUUGAGUGAAGCUGCUCAGAGACUGAAGUGUCUAAAGAAGAUUAGUAGAUCUGGAGGUAUGGCAGCAAUAGUUAACAUGGCAGGUUUCCAGAGGAAUUUUUGCUGCCACCAGUUCCUGUAAGCCUGUGCAUGGCUGGGUUUUAUUGGAGUAAUACACAUGGGCUGUUGGGCACUUCAGUGUCUUGGCCAAGAUAAUCAAUUGCAUAUGGGCAGGACUUAAUAAUUACAGUUACUCAGUAUUGUUUUGUGAAAGUGUGUGAAAUUCAGUGAAUGUGAUAGGAACAGUACCAUUAUCAGUAUCCAAUAAUAUCGGUUUUCCAUAAUAUGAAGAACUGAAUGGAGCAUUGUGCACCCAAAUGAACAGUUUCUUCUGACACAACCCAUCAGAUGUUCAUCAGCAACCAUUUCGGUGACCACGUAAGUCAUAUUUUUAAAUAAUCCCACAGUUCUGGUAUUUAUUUGUAACUAAGGGGUACCUUCUUAGUUAUAAUGUGUCGUAGAUAAAAGUGCUACAUUUUCCUUGGGGUUAGGAUCACAGUGGGGGGAAAAUGUUAACCAUUUCUGUUCUGCUUGUCAUACACAAAGAUUGUGGGGAGUGAGAGUUCUGAAUUUAUUUAUAAUGUUUGCGGUCUUUUGAUGUAUUGAAUUUUUGGCUGUUGAAAAUGUAUAGCAUUGCUGUUCGAAAUAAAACUUUUCGAUCUUGUA